rnacentral:lncRNA from 1 species
CAAAGUGAGGAAUGAGAUCAAGGAUAAAGAAUAGCCAGUAAAAGUGAUAAAGCAUGUUCCCCAUUUACAGAUGAAGAACUAAGCAAAUAGUGUGUUGAAGUGUCUUGGCCAGCAUUACAUUUGAGUUGAGACUGGAGAAGAAUCUGCUGACUGGACCUGAGACCCUGUUUCUGGUGAGGCUAUUCUUAAAUCUCUUCCUUUGGACUGACAC